rnacentral:misc_RNA from 1 species
AACGGUCUAUACCUGCGGUACCUGCGGAGGGAUCAUUCACAAUAAGUGUUUUAUGGCACUUUAAAUUCCAUAUCCACCUUGUGUGCAACGUAGUUCGUUUUUCCUUUCUGAGGAAUCUCGAACAAAAUAUCAACAUUUUUAUUAUCAACAGACCGUCUGAAGUAUUAUAUGAAUAAAAUUAAUUCAAAAUACAACUUUUAACAACGGAUCUCU